UUCAGUUUGUUUAUAAACUUUGUGCUGUGCGGAUGUGUCGUCGCGCGUUUGUCGUCUGGUGAAAUCGCUGGUGAAUCUCGCUACUAGCCACCAACUUUGAAACCACUAUCUAGCCGCUUAGCGGUCCGUUCUGUCCCGUCCAUCGUGCAUCGUCCCGCCGUCGUUGCCGCUCCGACCAGCCCAACAGCCACCCAAUCGACGCCCACGCGGUCGAGGAAAAGCUGAGGAAAAGCGCGCGCGCGACAAGUGAAGCGCACAGGUUAGCUGUGCUCGUAUGGGUGGUGAAAACAGUGAGGCAGUGUGUUUACUUGUGUGAUUUCUUUUGUUUGCUGGCCAAUUGUGGGGCUUAAUUGAAUGCUUGUCUCAUAUGGGCCAACAGAACCCACUGGUCAACAACAACAACAGCAACAACAAAACAACAACAACUGCACAAGCCUACUCGAGUGUUUCGCAACACCAUAAAAAACGCAUAUAUAUUGGAAAAGAAGAAGAGGAGAAAUACCAAAGCAGUACAUUUACACGCACAUAUCGGCGGGACGAGAAGAGAAGCUAAGCCAGAAAUACUAUAUGUACAUAUAGCAAAUGGCAUAUAGCAUAUAGCGUAUAAAAACCAGUUUCGAACCGCCGCAGCAGAAUCGAAAGCAGCGCAGUCGCAGCGUUUUGACCGAGCCUUCAUGGAAUGGUAUACGGUUGUAUAAACUUAAUUGGCUUCAUCACACAAACCUCACUUCAUAAAAGAACUUUGGCGCCUAAGUGAAUUCCAAACAAAUCAGUGCAACCGGCAAAUAAAUAAAUCAUUUGAGG
rnacentral:sRNA from 1 species